rnacentral:rRNA from 1 species
UACGUAGGGGGCAAGCGUUGUCCGGAAUCAUUGGGCGUAAAGCGCGCGUAGGCGGCCCGGUAAGUCCGCUCUGAAAGUCCAUGGCUCAACCCUGGAAAGCGGGUGGAUACUGCCGGGCUAGAAUCCGGAAGAGGCGAGUGGAAUUCCUGGUGUAGCGGUGGAAUGCGCAGAUAUCAGGAGGAACACCAAUAGCGAAGGCAGCUCGCUGGGACGGUAUUGACGCUAAGGCGCGAAAGCGUGGGGAGCAAACAGG